rnacentral:rRNA from 1 species
CCUUGGAACAGGACGUCAUAGAGGGUGAGAACCCCGUACCUGGCCGUCGGUGCCCCCCGCUGUGAAACUCCUUCGACGAGUCGAGUUGUUUGGGAAUGCAGCUCUAAAUUGGUGGUAAAUUCCAUCUAAAGCUAAAUACCGGCCAGAGACCGAUAGCGCACAAGUAGAGUGAUCGAAAGAUGAAAAGCACUUUGAAAAGAGAGUUAAAAAGUACGUGAAAUUGUUGAAAGGGAAGCGCUUGCGGCCAGACUUGCCCGCGGUUGCUCAGCCCGCCUUUUGGCGGGUGCACUCUUCCGCGGUCAGGCCAGCAUCGGUUUGGGCGGCCGGAUAAAGACGCCGGGAACGUGGCCUCCCCUCGGGGAGGUGUUAUAGCCCGGCGUGCAAUGCGACCAGCCCGGACCGAGGUUCGCGCUCUGCUAGGAUGCUGGCGUAAUGGCCGUAAGCGGCCCGUCUUGAAACACGGACCAAGGAGUCUAACAUCUAUGCGAGUGUUUGGGUGUCAAACCCGUGCGCGUAAUGAAAGUGAACGGAGGUGGGAACCCGCAAGGGCGCACCAUCGACCGAUCCUGAUGUCUUCGGAAGGAUUUGAGUAAGAGCAUAGCUGUUGGGACCCGAAAGAUGGUGAACUAUGCGUGAAUAGGGUGAAGCCAGAGGAAACUCUGGUGGAGGCUCGCAGCGGUUCUGACGUGCAAAUCGAUCGUCAA